UGAGAGUUUGAUCCUGGCUCAGGACGAACGCUGGCGGCGUGCCUAAUACAUGCAAGUCGAACGCUUCUUUCCUCCCGAGUGCUUGCACUCAAUUGGAAAGAGGAGUGGCGGACGGGUGAGUAACACGUGGGUAACCUACCCAUCAGAGGGGGAUAACACUUGGAAACAGGUGCUAAUACCGCAUAACAGUUUAUGCCGCAUGGCAUAAGAGUGAAAGGCGCUUUCGGGUGUCGCUGAUGGAUGGACCCGCGGUGCAUUAGCUAGUUGGUGAGGUAACGGCUCACCAAGGCCACGAUGCAUAGCCGACCUGAGAGGGUGAUCGGCCACACUGGGACUGAGACACGGCCCAGACUCCUACGGGAGGCAGCAGUAGGGAAUCUUCGGCAAUGGACGAAAGUCUGACCGAGCAACGCCGCGUGAGUGAAGAAGGUUUUCGGAUCGUAAAACUCUGUUGUUAGAGAAGAACAA
rnacentral:rRNA from 1 species